GCGCCCGUGGCGGAAUGGUAGACGCGGCAGAUUUAGGAUCUGUUGUCGAAAGGCAUGGAGGUUCGACUCCUCCCGGGCGCA
rnacentral:tRNA from 1 species